GGGAGAGUAACUCAGUUUGGUUAGAGUGUCAGCUUGUCACGCUGAAAGCCGCGGGUUCGAGUCCCGUCUCUCUCG
rnacentral:tRNA from 1 species